GCGUGGGCAGUGUAGAAAAAGUAGCGAUGUGUUCCGAUGAGAUCCUUAGGUUGUCACGAGUGCGUAGGAUUUUGCGGAUCUCAAUUCGGACGUCGUUUGACUAUCGAACGGAUAAUCGCAUAGUGUGCGUUAUCCGGGUUCGAUAGGUUGGGACCGCUGGAUGGUCUCAAAUUUAAUAUAUGUUAAUUUAGGUAUUUUUAGGAUCGUGUAGGAAUUCACGGAUCGUGAAUCGGAGCCCCG
rnacentral:lncRNA from 1 species